rnacentral:rRNA from 1 species
CCUACGGGCGGCAGCAGUGGGGAAUAUUGCGCAAUGGGCGAAAGCCUGACGCAGCGACGCCGCGUGAGGGAUGAAGGUCUUCGGAUCGUAAACCUCUGUCAGCAGGGAAGAACGGUCACUGUGCUAUUCAGCAGUGAAUUGACGGUACCUGCAAAGGAAGCACCGGCUAACUCCGUGCCAGCAGCCGCGGUAAGACGGAGGGUGCGAGCGUUAAUCGGAAUUACUGGGCGUAAAGCGCUCGUAGGCGGUAUGUCAAGUCAAGGGGGAAAUCCCCGCGCUCAACGUGGGAACUGCCUUUGAAACUGGCAAACUGGAGUGUGUGAUAGGAUAGUGGAAUUCCCGGUGUAGGCGUGAAAUCCGUAGAUAUCUGGAGGAACAUCAGUGGCGAAGGCGACUUUCUGGCACAUAACUGACGCUGAGGAGCGAAAGCGUGGGUAGCAAACAGGAUUAGAUACCCCAGUAGUC